AUCACGGGACGCUGGCAGUGGCGGGCUGCACAGGCUCCCGGGAGGGGCGGUGUGGAGAGUGACCUGUGCUCGCACACAGGCUUCUUGGUGGCGGCAGCAGCAGCCUUAGUGUCUCCUGCCCGUCUCUGGGGUCCCCGCUGUUAGCCACGGCUCGCGCCCUUCUCUGGAGCUCGUUUAGGCGGUGCUCUGCAUUCCCUCUCCUCGCGCACCCGGAAACAAUGGUCUCUUGCCUCUCUGGUGUUUGCUGUGAGGAUACUCAGUGGUCUUGAUGAGAGUAGAGUGCCAAAGAAAGUUUAGGAACCUGUGUCUGUCAACCCGCUCCAGCCAACAGUACAGUUCCAACUGUCACAGUACUCCCAUGGAAAUCUGGAUAUAAGUGCUUAAAGGUAUUAAUUCCUAAUAAAUAUUUUGCACCUCAACUCUGUCUCAAUAUCUGCUUCUGGAAAAGCCUACCAGCAACACUCUUCUUCAGAUCUUUGGAAGCCUGAGAGACAAGCCAUAUGAAGAGAAGGGCUCUCCUUUUACCCCUGGGGUCACAGUUACUGGAAAGCCAAGCCUCUAGAAUACAUUAUACUUAAUCUUUGCCUUGGAACUCUCUGAAAAUAAACUCUCAUUUGACACAGAGAAGUGACAGACUUGCAUCUACUUUCUCUAUGAAGAUUCCUGCAGGGCCUGAAGCCUUACUUGUUCUGCCAAGGACCUGCUGGACUGGUGACUUUAGCUGCUGCUCAACCUAGGAGAGGAGAAUGCACUGAAAUUAAAAUUGGAGAAGAGAAAGGAUGCUUUCAGACUGAAAUAGUCCCAGCCUCCCCUCCUAAAUGUUUAGGCUACUUAAAAUUAUUUCUCUAGUUUCAUGAGCAGAUUUUUUUUAAGACACUGAACUUUGUUUUGAAGUGUAAAUGCAUACAAAAAAGUAUACACAGUACACAGUCACAUUGUUCAGUUCCAUACAUUUCAUAGGAUGAACACACUCAACUAAUUGUCAUUCAGAUCAAGAAAAGAAUAUUACCAACAUCCCAAAAGCCCCAUUUGUACAUGCAUUCAGUUACCAUUCUUUAUCAUGUAAACAAUAUCUGGACAUCUAACAAUAUAGUUUGCUUGCUUUGGAAAUGUAUAUAAAUAAA